CACACCUGCACACGAGAUGACAUAUGAGAUCUCCACUGACUCUGCUAGACAUCUGUGAGAUGUUCCUCUGUGUGCUCUGCUCUUACCUGGCAUUCAUGUGGUUUCUCUCCUGUAUGAACCUGGAUGUGCUUUUGAAGCCACUUCCUUGCUGAGUCAGUGUGUGAGACACGAGUGUGUUGCUUUACUGGCACAUGUAAGCGAGGAGCAGUGCGUCAGAGAAACCCAAAACGAGCAUACACACCCCUGAAGCAUGACUGAUGUGUUUUCCGUGGAUGUUUGCAGGCAAAUGUUCAGGGUGAAGAUGUUCUCCGAGCAGCGGGCCGAAGUGGGUCCCUGCAGGAAUGACC